GGGGGGGGGGGGGUAGUCAAAGGAUUUUACUGAAUUAUUCGAAUUUUACUGUUAAAAAUCACUUGAACUGUAGAAGUCAUAAGUUGCAAUGACCUUUCAAUGCCUGAAGGUCCUCUCUCAAAAAUAUUUAUUUUUGAAGCUCGAUUACUGCAUUUCUUGCAUUUUCUGUAGUGAUCGAAAAAAACGACCAAUUUUAAGGGCAUAUAUUCAGAAACUUUGCAUUAAAGUCGUAAUUGUACACUUGUAUUUUAGAACGGUCAUAUAGUGAAUGGAUUUAGAACUUCACAUUUUGUGUAGAGUUUCCACAAUGAUAAUAAUAACUGAACUCGAAUCGAGCAC